GACGAACGCUGGCGGCGUGCUUAACACAUGCAAGUCGAACGGAAAGGCCUGCUUUCCCUUGUGGAUUGCGGGUACUCGAGUGGCGAACGGGUGAGUAACACGUGAGUGAUCUGCCCCCAACUUGGGUAUAAGCCUGGGAAACUGGGUCUAAUUCCCGAUAGGACUGCAGGGUGGUGCCUGUGGUGGAAAACGAUUUUCUAGUGGUUGGGGAUGAGCUCGCGGCCUAUCAGCUUGUUGGUGGGGUAAUGGCCUACCAAGGCGGCGACGGGUAGCCGGCCUGGGAGGGUGGACGGCCACAUUGGGACUGGGAUACGGCCCAGACUCCUACGGGAGGCAGCAGUGGGGAAUAUUGCACAAGGGGCGGAAGCCUGAUGCAGCGACGCCGCGUGGGGGAUGACGGCCUUCGGGUUGUAAACUCCUUUCGACCGCGAGGAAGCCACCUGGUUGGAAGGGUGGUGACGGUAGUGGUAGAAGAAGCACCGGCUAACUACGUG
rnacentral:rRNA from 1 species